AAUAAGUUACAAUGUUGCCAUCACGUAUUUCUCUUGAAGAUAUAUGAUGCAUAGAAGAUCGUUCAGGAGAGGAGAGAGAGGGGUUGGGGGUCAACCAUGAGACGAUCAGCGUGAAGAUUUGAUAGUGAACAGCACUCUGCAGCUUUUAUGCAUUGUAAUGAUAAAAAUAAUAAGUAGUAAAUAAAUAAAUAGUAAUAAACAUUAUUAUCAUUAUCAUCGUAAAUAGUAAUAAUGCAUGAAA